CCAAGCUGCUAGAUGGAUAGCUUGGCUCAGGUCGUGACGAAGGACGUGGCAAGCUGCGAUAAGCCCUGGCGAGCUGCAUGCGAGCUUUGAACCAGGGAUUUCCGAAUGCGGAAACGCGUUCCUUCUGGAAAAUGCCGCGAGGCAGAUGCACGCCGGGAAUUGAAACAUCUUAGUACCGGCAGGAAAAGAAAGCAAUCGCGAUUCCCUGAGUAGCAGCGAGCGAAACGGGAACAGGGCAAACCGAAUCUGCUUCCGAAAGGGAGUUAGAGAUGUGGUGGAGCUUAAGCCUAAGGAGUUGAGCCGAAGUUGACUGGAAUGUCGCGCCGAAGAGGGUGAUAGCCCCGUAGGCGAAGACUCUAUGGCGUGCUCCGAAAGAGUAGGGCGCGCUGGAUCGCGCGUCUGAAUACGGGUGAAUUAACACCCAACCCUAAAUAUUGACCUGAGACCGAUAGCGGACUUAGUACCGCGAGGGAAAGCUGAAAAGUACCCUUGGUAGGGGGUGAAAAGACUUGAAAUCUAGCAGCGACAGUUGGUUACGGCAUCCUUGUGGUGUUGUAACGUGCGUUUUGAAAAACGAGCCAAGGAGUGUGCCUGCGUGGCGAGGUUAAGCUCAGCUAGCCGCAGCGAAAGCGAGUCUGAAAGGGCGUUAGUCACGCGGGCACGACCCGAAGCCGGGUGAUCUACUCGUGGGCAGGCUGAAGUUUUCCGAAAGGAGAAUGGAGGGCCGAACCGGUGUUGUGAGCAUGCACUCGGAUGACCUGCGAGUAGGGGUGAAAAGCCACUCUAACCCGGCGAUGGCUGGUUCCUGCCGAAAUAUGCCGCAGUAUAGUCUUGCCUAGCUUGCCAACGAGGUAAAGUACGGAUGAGGUUUGCAGACCCGCAAGGGUACGGAACCUUUUCCAACUCAGAACUUGUUGGCUGCGUAGGGCAGGAAUGAGGGGCAGCGGGUAAGCUGCUGUUCCGAGACCCGAACAAGGGAGAGUGGAGUUAAGGUCCCAAAAGGCGCGCUAAGUGUAGCAAACCUUGUCGAGAACCUAAGACAGUGGGGAGGUAGGCUUAGAAGCAGCCACCCUUUAAAGAAAGCGUAACAGCUCACCCAUCGAGGUUCUUGGCGGGGAAAAUGGACGGGGCUAAGCGCGCUACCGAUACUCCACCGGCGCUCGGCGAAACCGCAACUCACCGAAAAGUUUAAAUAAGCACUCUAAAAAGAGCUGUAAUGGAAAACAAUUACAAUCUUUUGCCUGUUGUGGAAAGAGAGGCAGCAGAUGAAUUUGUGAGAGAGAUGGGAGAGCAUCGCAACGAUUACGUGCAGAGACAACUUCACCAUCUGGUGGAUAAGAAUCCUUGGGUAGCAACCUUUGCGAUAGAAUACGCAAAAAGUUUUGAAAGUGAUGAAGCAAAGGGUGCUGCUGUUUCAGCUGUUGUGAUGGCAUACAGGCUUAUGGAACACCAAGCGAUGCGAGAGAGAACUCGCUCAACAAUUGAGAGAAAGUUGAAUUAGCAAGAAACUUCAUACUUAUAUUCUUAUCUUGUUGCGGUGGAGAGCGUUCGGGUAGGCAGGCGUGGAUUCUGCGCAGAAGCGUUUCCGUGAGGAGGCGUGGAGCGGGAUCCAACGAGAAUCUUGGCGUUAGUAAGAACAAAUUGCCCUGAGAAUGGGCAGCGUCGAAAGGGCACGGUUUCCUCGGCACUAUCGUUUAACCGAGGGUUAGUCGGCGCCUAAGCCAUGCCUUAACUGAGUAUGGCGAAUGGGUAUCCGGUUAAUAUUCCGGAACUGGCUAGUUUCGUUUAGUGCACGAGUGAGCUUCCGGAUAAGCAGAGGCUCGAGAGGGCUAGCGAGCGAGAAGGGCAGGGAGCGUAAUGCACAGAUCUGUCUCAAUCGCCGCGAAUCUGCUGAUUCCAGGAGCCCGUGAAAAGCUUGUGCAUAGAGGCUAGCUAGCCGUACCAAGAACUUGCACAGGUGCCCUAGCUGAGAAGGCUAAGACGUGAGGGGAGAAUCUGACUAAGGGAAUUCGGCAAGUUGGCCCCGUGCCUUCGGCAGAAGGGGUGUCUAUGGAUGUGCUUGACUCUGUUAAGUGCAUUCGUAGAUCGCAGUGACAAGGACUGCCCGACUGUUUACCAAAAACGUAGCCGGUUGCUAAUCCGAAAGGACUUGUAUAACCGGUGAGACCUGCCCAGUCACGGUGCUUGAAAGCCCUUUUCAAGGGGCCUAAGACCCGUGAAACGGCGGGCCUAACUAUGAGGCUCUUAAGGUAGCGUAAUGCCUUGUCGUCUGAAUGGCGACGUGCAUGAAUGGUUUAACGAGGUAGUCACUGUCCCUAGUCAGAGCCCUCUGAACUCACUUACCGGUGAACAUGCCGGUGUCGCCUAGUGGGAAGAGAAGACCUUGUGGACCUUUACCGCAGCUUGUUGCUGCGAUUUUAGGAGGGAUGCAUAGCAUAGGUGGGAGCGCAGAAGCUAACGCUCCGGCGUUAGUGGAGCACCAGUGUAAUACCACCCAUCUCUCCUGAAAUCGCUAACUUCCUUCGGGAAGGACACCAGCAGGUGGGCGGUUUGGCUGGGGCGGCACCCUGCAGAAAAGAUAUCUGCAGGGCCCAAAGGUAGGCUCAGCCAGGUUGGAGAUCUGGCGUUGAGUGCAGGGGCAAAAGCCUGCCUGACUGUGUCCUGCACAGCAAGGGACGCAGAGGCGAAAGCCUGGCCCAGCGACCCCACGUGGCCUUUUAAUGGGGCCCGUGUGUGACAGAAAAGGUACCCCAAGGAUAAUUGGCUGGUCGCGCCCGAUAGUUCAUAUUGACGGCGCGGUUUGGUGCGUCGCUGUCGGCUCUUCCUAUCCUGGUAGUGCACAAGCUACCAAGGGUGUCGGAGUUCACGCAUUAAAAGGGAUCGUUAGCUGGGUUAAGAACGUCGUGAGACAGUUUGUAUUAUAUCUGCUAGGCGCGUGGUUGUCUGAGUGGAACGAGCGUUUAGUACGAGAGGAACGGCGCUCGGGUGCCUCUGGUGUGCGGUUGUCAUGUGGCAGGCCGCGUAGCUACGCACCACGUGGAUAAGUCCUGAAAGCAUCUAAGGACGAAGCCACCCGCAAGACGAGACAACAAAGGCCGUCGUAGAAGACGACGUUGAUAGAGCUGCUGUGUAAGAGCCAAGGCAACG
rnacentral:rRNA from 1 species